rnacentral:rRNA from 1 species
AUUGAACGCUGGCGGCAGGCCUAACACAUGCAAGUCGAGCGAGCGGCGGACGGGUGAGUAAUGUCUGGGAAACUGACUGAUGGAGGGGGAUAACUACUGGAAACGGGAGCUAAUACCGCAUACCAUCAGAUGUGCCCAGUUGGGAUUAGCUAGUGGGUGGGGUAACGGCUCACCUAGGCGACGAACCCUAGCUGGACUUGGAGGAUUACCAGCCACCUUGGAACUGAGAAACGGGCCAGACUACUAAGGGAGGGAGCAGUGGGGAAUAGUGCACAAUGGGCGCAAGCCUGAUGCAGCCAGGCCGCGUGUGUGAAGAAGGCCUUCGGGUUGUAAAGCACUUUCAGCGGGGAUGCGUUACCCGCAGAAGAAGCACCGGCUAACUCCGGGCCAGCCGCCGCGGUAAUAC